GCACACAUCGACAACAGUCACCCUCCAAGCACCGUUACCCAUCGCUCCACAAAAGCCGCAAGGGAAACAACUACUUCAAGUUUCAGAGCGAGUGACGUCACCGAUUGAAACGCUAGCGGUCACCCAACUAACUAGCUAUUUCACAAAUUCACACCGGUUUUUUUCUGGCAGCAUAUGGAAGCACGUUCGAUUGUGCGUCAAGAUUUCAGCAUAGCAAAUUUGUAUGAAGGUCUGGUUAUUAAAUGGGUAAAUAGUUCAAUAGUAAUAUGGUCUAAAACGCUCUGGUGACAAACUUUGCUACCCUGUUUCCAAUUAUCUACAUGGCUUGGAGAACCUAUUCAAGUAAGUUAAGUAAAUACAUUUCGAAAAUGUUUUGAAUUUUUAAAAUUGUUACAGUGUAGGCUAACUCAAAUGAGCUAGCUAGACGACUUUACAUACUGUAUAGAUAACGUUAGCUGGCUAAGCGAAUUAAAUAUCACCAGCUACCUAACUUCAUAUUAGUUCGCUAUCUUGAUGUAUUUAUCACUGUAAAAAACAAACUCCAAAUGCCAUGGAGGAGGGUGAAAGGAUAAUUUUUAGCAGCCCCAACUUUCAAAGUGAGAGAGUAGGUUAUUCUGGAUAGGGCAGGCACUUUUGUGUAGUUCCGUCCCUAGAAGUGAGGACGGAGGUAAAAGUAACAUAAUAUUCAGUGCAGUGUAGUUUGGGUAUAAGGAAGUCUGUUUCUUGUGAGUUUUUCUGUCCUCAGAUAAAGAGAGCUCUGAAAGCUUGUCUACGGAUGAAGAGUUCCCAAUGAAGAGCAGUGGUUCUCAGUCCUGAUCCUGGGGACUCAAAGGAGUGCACAUUUUUGUUUUUGCCUUCAAAUGAUCAACUCAUCAUCAAGCUUCGAGUGAUACCUUGUAAAUGGAGUUUCCUUCAAAACGAUUACCUACAGUUACCGUGUAGGGCACUGCAAGGUUGAGUGACCAGGGCCAUCUGGGACUGCCUCCUGGAGGAAUUCAAGUGUGUGAAGGCUACCUGUGUCCUGCAUAACUUCAUGAGGAUGGACACGAGGACCAGGAGGGGAACUGCAGCUCGCCGGCGUGUGCCAGAGGAGAAGUCUGGUGCCCUGCAGGAUGUUUCAAGGAUGGGGUAGAACAACGCAGCAAGAGGUAAUCCGUGUGCGGGAGAUCUUCACCUCCUACUUCUUUGAAGAGGGUGCUGUUCCAUGGCAACACCAUAGACUACACUACGCACAACCAAAGGCUCUUUUAAGAGCCAUCCACAUUGCACAUAAAGUACUCUGCAGCAACUUAGUGUGGACACCAGGUUAUAUCAGCUGUGUCAGUGAACCCCUCUCGCAUCUGAACUGGCUAAUUAGAGGGCACAGCAUGAUCAGAGGUAUGUUUUGAUGUGAGAGAGGAUGCCAACCCCCAGUCCCGUCAUACAGGGGCAAAAAUCUGAUAUCAACCUUGGAGGGGACAAUUACAUUACAUUUUCUCAAGAGCAAUUCCUGAGGGGGACACCAAAAGUAGUGCUGUAACACAUAGCCUACGUUGUUAAAUGUAUAUUGAGGAACCAUAAUUCCUACAACUGGAUAAUUGAUAGGUACAGUAGUUAACUGAAGGGUUUUCUAAACUUGUUCAAAUGUUUAAAUCAUUAUAAUACUACUAUUAAUAAUAGUUAUAGCAGUGCUCCUUACCAGUCCAGUAUGUAUGCAGGUAUUCGUACUUACAACCAGCAAUAUCAAGAAAGGCCAGUAGGUGGCAAUGGUACUGUACACUGUGUGGGUGUAGUUUUCAUAAAUACAAUGAACAUGGUGUGAUCACAUCUUAAAAUAAUCUCCAUUGAGAACCAUCACAAAGUUGGUCUCUGUAUUGAAAUUACCUUUUAAGUUGACUUUUUCUGAUACAUUUAUAUAGUCAUUAAAUAUGUGCCACUGGCCUGAAUCUACUACAAUAUCUUUACAAGAACAAAAAGCUUAAAAUAAGUACAGUUCUAAAAGUGAAAGAACUACUUCAAUGAAUAACCCAAAUAAAUCAACCAAAAUAUCCUUCAGUCAGUGUCUCAACUCGGUCAGUGUCUCAACUCGGUCAGUGUCUCAACUCGGCCAGUGUCUCAACUCGGCCAGUGUCUCAACUCGGUCAGUGUCUCAACUCGGCCAGUGUCUCAACUCGGCCAGUGUCUCAACUCGGCCAGUGUCUCAACUCGGCCAGUGUCUCAACUCGGCCAGUGUCUCAACUCGGCCAGUGUCUCAACUCGGCCAGUGUCUCAACUCGGCCAGUGUCUCAACUCGGCCAGUGUCUCAACUCGGCCAGUGUCUCAACUCGGCCAGUGUCUCAACUCGACCAGUGUCUCAACUCUUCAAACAGCAGCUAUGGACAAGUAUGUCACACAAAGUAUGCAAUUUUAAAUAAAAUAACAUGAAAUAAAUCAUUUGUAAGUGUACUAAAAACUGAAAACUACUAAACAAAAGAACAAAUAUCAAUUACACCAGGGGUUCUCAAACAGGGGUCCGUGAAAUAAAAAAGUGUAAUGAAUGUAGUCAGUACCACAAGGUUUCCAGUAAGUUUACAUAUAAUAUAGAGUGGAGGUCCCUGAGGACCCCUCAAAACCGUGCCUCAAAAUAUGCAGGGUUUCCAGUACCCAAAAAAGGUUGAGAACCACUGCUAUACACACUACUGAACAAAAGAACCAAACAUAUGUUUGUGGGUUUCAAUGCAUCCAACAAAUUGCUGGCAGAUAUUUUCCCUCUUGAGACUGUCCAGCCUGUCUUUAUGUACAUUACAGACAAUUACGCCGUUCAGUCUCUCUUGGCCCAUGCUAGCCCGUAGCCAAGUCUUUAACCUGCGGAGUGCACUGAAACUCCUCUCAGCCUCACAUGAAGACACUGGCACCACAAACAAAAUUCUGAUCAGCACCUCAACUUGGUCAAACAACCUGGAAGCCUCCUGAGGACUGCUGCCUCUCCACUGCUGCUACAGGGGUAUUUGUUGUGAAAGAGAGGGAUCUGCACUAAAAGAGAAUCUAUGUUCAGUUCUGGGUACUGAUCUAGAGACUCAUCCAACUCCCCCGUGAGAAGCGCUCUUUCCAACUUUUGCAGGACGUUUAGACUGUCCUUGUCAAAACGGUCGCCAAACUAAACAUCCACACCAUCCAACACUUAAAAAAUUUCUGCCCUAUAGUGAUCCACUGCUUUGCCAGCAAAUCGUCUUGAGUGCGUCUCAAUGGAUUCAAUAGAGUCAAUCAAUGUUGUUGCUUUCUCAUACAGUGCAAGGUAGCUUUCGUCAUUUCUCGUGCUUUUAAGAGAUGACCGCACACACUUGACUGCAGCCUGCAUACCAGAGACAGUCUGAGUUGUCUUCUGCAGUGAAAUGUUUAGACAUUCAAGCUCUCCAAGAACAGCAGAGGCAAGUGUGAGGCCCAACAGUCUUGCCUUUGCUGAAGUGCUCGAAUAAGCCACUGGCAGUUGAAGCUGUCUUGGAUGCAGAUUUUGCCAUCUCCUCUAGGCUGCUUAGUACCCGCUCAUACUGCCCUAGCACAGCUCUAAUAGCAGUAUUCUGCACAGUCCACCUUGUUGGACAUAGGGGUUUCAGGGUGGUCAGAUUUGUAUCUUUGGACGUGGCAAUUGAUUCAAACAUGCUCUUAAACUUUCCUGACUGGCCAUAGAGGACACCUAACUGAUGGACCCAGGAAAGGGAAUUCCGGAUCAGUGGGAAGGCUGAGCAGCCAGCCUGUGUAAUCAGAUUUACACAGUGUGCUCCACAAUGGACAUAGAGGGCUAAUGGCUGCUGCCUCCUCACAAUUGCCUGUGCACCUGUGUAUUUUCCUGCCAUGUUUGAGGCACCAUCGUAACUCUGCCCACGUAAGCCAGACAUGGGCAAAUUGAGCCUCAACAACACAUCAGUUGCCACCUUCGCAAUGCCCUCACCUGUUGUCUCCGACACCCUGUAUAGCCCAAUAAACUCCUCGUGAGGGACAAGGUCAUGGUCAACAUAACGCAGACAGACACUCUCCUGUUCAGCACCAGAGACAUCUUGAGUACCAUCAACAAUUAAUGAAAAUUGUACAAUCGGAAGAGACCUAAUCUCAGCUGAAAUGCCUUGAAUGACAGUUACAAUUACAAAGUGGCGGUGGGUUUGGCAGUUUUGAUGUGCUGUGAAUUUUUCAAUGGCUUUUCUCCAGUUCCUAAAUCCUGCACUAAUGAAGGCAGCAUCUGCUCUUUGGCCAAACGAUGGCUAGCUUGAAAACCCUUGGCUACAGUGAAAACACAACACUCCUUUUAUUGAUGGAUUAUAAUGUAGCCAGGGGAAAUUGCGAAACCAUCUCUCUUGAAACGUCAACAACCGCAAGAGUUUGCAGUUCUAUAAAUUGUGGGUGUGGCUGAUAUGGUUUUGUGCCAUCACUGAGGUAACUGGACAAUGCUGUGCCACUGUCCCCUAUACUGGUGUGGCUGGCAACAAGGGUGACACCUGGUCCUGCCGUGGCUGUGACACUGUCCUCUGAAGUCUCUCUCUUUGGCUCUUUCCCUUUCACCACCCUCACUGACUCACAGACAAGAAAUAAGGUGUUUGCCGUACUCCUAACUACCGGUACCCAAAACUACACAAUUAAUCACAACAGUAAUACCAUUGCCUUAAACAAAUCUUAGUUUAGUCACCAGUUUAAGUUGAGAGUGGGGGUAUCCAUGGCAUUUUCCAAUUAUGUCCCUAUUUUACAAGUCAAAAAAUUGAGAACCUUUCAUAAUGUUGCCAAACAAAGACUCAACAAACUUACCUGAGACUCCUUGUCUCUGCCAGUCUGUCCCUGCAUAUCUGUCCCCAGCUCUGCUGUCUGUGUGCCAUAUUUUGCCUGCUCUGCCUAAUGACAUAAUUGUGAAACAUUUACAUUAGCAUUUCACUUCUUUCUGAUUAACAUUUUAUCAACUAGUCUUUGAGAUAUUAGGCUACUAGAGUUCUUACUUUGCGUUUUGGUGUACUGAAAAAUACUCUGAUGUCCGUCUUUUUACUUUUUUUCUGCCAUUUUUCUACCUGGCUGGCUGGCUGGCUGGCCUAGCUGCACACACACACAUUUACACAACACAUGCUACAACCUUUUGUAAUUUUAAUAUAGUUUGUUUCAUAUUGGCUGGCUUCCAACAAUAGCUGAAUUUGUAAAGCUAGCGAGCACCAAUUCCGUUUCUGUGGUGUUUGUUAUAAUCUUUUCUACCUGGUUAAAUAAAGGUUAAAUAAAAUAAAAACAGUUCACUAGCGACAAUUUAGCUUUUGCAACGAGACCAUUAAAUACACUGCACAAAAAAUAAAGGGAACACUUAAACAACACAUUGUAACUCCAAGUCAAUCACACUUCAUUUGUGGCCUGCUGGAGGUCAUUUUGCUGGGCGCUGGCAGUGCACCUCCUUGCACAAAGGCGGAGGUAGCGGUCCUGCUGCUGGGUUGUUGCCCUCCUACAGCCUCCUCCACGUCUCCUGAUGUACUGUCCUGUGUCCUGGUAGCGCCUCCAUGCUCUGGACACUACGCUGACAGACACAGCAAACCUUUUUGCCACAGCUCGCAUUGAUGUGCCAUCCUGGAUGAACUGCACUACCUGAGCCACUUGUGUGGGUUGUAGACUCCGUCUCAUGCUACCACUAGAGUGAGAGUACCGCCAGCAUUCAAAAGUGACCAAAACAUCAGCCAGGAAGCAUAGGAACUGAGAAGUCGUCUGUGGUCACCACCUGCAGAAUUACUCAUUUGGGGGUGUCUUGCUAAUUGCCUAUAAUUUCCACCUUUUGUCUAUUCCAUUUGCACAACAGCAUGUGAAAUUUAUUGUCAAUCAGUGUUGCUUCCUAAGUGGACAGUUUGAUUUGACAGAAGUGUGAUUGACUUAGAGUUACAUUGUGUUGUUUAAGUGUUCCCUUUAUUUUUUUGAGCAGUGUAUAUUUAAGACAAUGGUAUAAGAGAGUGUAGUUCUGUUCAGUUUGGACUUCAGUUUAUCGCUAACCUUAUCACAGGGACUUUGAAGCACUACAGCUGCAUGCUGAUCUUGGAAUAAACUGACGAUAGCAAAGAUUCCAUCUUUGACGACGCCACAUAAAUGGAAUAGGUACUAGCUAGCUUGAUAGUUAAUGUUUGCUUUAGUUUGCGCGCUAGCUCUGCAAAUUCAGCUAGUGUGUGAACCCUGCCAACAUAAAAAUAAAAAAACAUUGCUAUGGCGCGAUUGACUGGAUUAACCUCACGUCAGUUACGUACAUUGAGUGCCUUUCGGACAGUAGACACGAACCCUCUAUUACCUUGCCAGCUAAAGAACUGGCAGUGGAUCAAACCAUCGUGAGGCAAAGGGCAGGGGAGGUCGCAAUCUUUUGAAACUUAAAAACGCGCUAUUAAGUGUCUAUAAUCAGCACAAGUGGGGGGGGGGGGGUCGUGUCCCCCCUGGGAUUUCCGCCUAUAACGUCAUCGCCACCUCACUCUCUCUAAAGAUAACCUUUGGGCCGACUGAGAGCCCAAGGCUGGUUAGGAAACACUAUUAUGUAAUUGUGAUUAACUAAAAUUAUGGUAGCACUGUGAUUCAUUAAUCAUAUGCUGCCUUCCCAGCUCCUAUGUUCUUACCUCUUUCUUCCUCUGUUUUUAUAAUGCACAACAUAUGUACAUUGAACUACAGAUUGAACAUGUAUUUAUAAUAUUACAAUUAUAAUAUUUAUAAUGCAUGUAUUUAUAACACUUGGACAAUUAACUUCUUUAAAUAAAGGGUUUUACAUUCUCUACUGGUUAAAAUUAAGUCUUUCAUUUGAUGAAAUACUACACCCUAUCCUGUGUUUAUCAGAUCAAUGCAGAUUAUGGAAAUUAGAUAUUGAGAUGGACCAGUUUGAGUAUGUACAUGAUGCAUAGGAAGUGUAGUGUACUGUUUUUUUAAAUUAUAUUUCUGUGUAUAUGAAUUACAAAUCAGCCUUUAACUAGUUAAAUCAUGUUUCUAGUCUAUUGCAUAGUUACAAUGUGUAACCAAUGAUGUCCCAGGACCAAGACUCGUAAACACUGUUGAAGUGUAUCAUUGUAAUACAUACAUGCAGACACAGCAUCAUUCAAAGACGGGAAUUUUAUGCUCCUGGUAUUGGAUAUGACUGAAAAACUAUCUCAAAGACAUUCAUACCUGAACUGUACCUUCAUUUGCCACAGAGUACAUGAUCAGUGAAUAUAUUAAAUGUACAGGCUACAAUGUGGGGAUCUCAUGCAUGGUAAUAACUACAUGUAUAUAUUACUUCCUUGGCACAAAGUUAUAAUAUAUUAUACCCAGCAGCAUACCACCCUGCAUACCACUGCUGGCUUGCUUCUGAAGCUAAGCAGGGUUGGUCCUGGUCAGUCCCUGGAUGGGAGACCAGAUGCUGCUGGAAGUGGUGUUGGAGGGCCAGUAGGAGGCACUCUUUCCUCUGGUCUAAAAAAAAAUAUCCCAAUGCCCAGGGCAGUGCCCUGUGCCCUGUGUAGGGUGCUGUCUUUCGGAUGGGACGUUAAACGGGUGUCCUGACUCUCUGAGGUCAUUAAAGAUCCCAUGGCACUUAUCGUAAGAGUAGGGGUGUUAACCCCGGUGUCCUGGCUAAAUUCCCAAUCUGGCCCUCAAACCAUCAUGGUCACCUAAUAAUCCCCAGUUUACAAUUGGCUCAUUCAUCCCCCUCCUCUCCCCUGUAACUAUUCCCCAGGUCGUUGCUGCA